UACGUAGGGCGCAAGCGUUGUCCGGAAUUAUUGGGCGUAAAGAGCUCGUAGGCGGUCUGUCGCGUCUGCUGUGAAAACGCGGGGCUCAACCCCGCGCCUGCAGUGGGUACGGGCAGACUAGAGUGCGGUAGGGGAGACUGGAAUUCCUGGUGUAGCGGUGGAAUGCGCAGAUAUCAGGAGGAACACCGGUGGCGAAGGCGGGUCUCUGGGCCGAUACUGACGCUGAGGAGCGAAAGCGUGGGGAGCGAACAGG
rnacentral:rRNA from 1 species